AAGUCGUAACAAGGUCUCCGUAGGUGAACCUGCGGAGGGAUCAAUAACAUAUAUCUGUUAUAUAUGGGAAAGAAGGGGAAUGAAGAGAAAGAUAUAGAUGUUUUUCCCUUUUUCCCUUUUUCUCCCAAAAAAAAACAAUCACAACUAUUGUUAUAUUGGGAUGAAAAAUUUUUGUUGUUGGAAAAAAAAAAGUGUUUGCCUGAUAUUAUAAUAUUGGAUUGGAAAAAAAAGUUAUACAACUUUCAACAACGGAUCUCUUGGCUCUCA
rnacentral:misc_RNA from 1 species